rnacentral:rRNA from 1 species
UACGGGGGGAGCAAGCGUUGUUCGGAUUUACUGGGCGUAAAGGGCGCGUAGGCGGCCAGCACAAGUCAGUUGUGAAAUCUCCGGGCUUAACUCGGAAAGGUCAACUGAUACUGUGCGGCUAGAGUGCAGAAGGGGCAACUGGAAUUCUCGGUGUAGCGGUGAAAUGCGUAGAUAUCGAGAGGAACACCGAUUGCGAAGGCAGCUCGCUGGGACGUAACUGACGCUGAGACGCGAAAGCGUGGGGAGCAAACAGG